ensembl:misc_RNA Metazoa_SRP Metazoan signal recognition particle RNA
GCCUGGCAUGGUGGCGGGUGCCUGUAAUCCCAGCUACUCAGGAGGCUGAGGCAGGAGAAUCGCUUGAACCCAGGAGGUGGAGGUUUCAGUGAGCUGAGAUCGUGCCACUGCACUCCAGCCUGAGUGACAGAGCGAGAUUCUGUCUCAA